AAUUGCAACGCGUGGCCUUUCCCAGUCGCCAUUGAUGCGAUCCCCAGAGCCCGGUGAGGCGGUCGCUCCCAGUCUUUUUUCAACUUCGCUUCUCCGUUGAGAAUGGAACUGUCGAAAGAAGAUUAAAAGCAGGAAUAGAAGGCAAAGUAAUCGACGCUGAAGAAGCGGCGCGCAGAACUGCAGAUAUUUCCAUAAGGUAAUUUUAUACAAAUCCGUGCUCCUCUUGCUAAGCCUCUUCCCUGCUCCGCCCAAGGCCUUAGCUUGGUAGAUAUCACAGUGCGAGACAAUAAGAAAAAGAGGGCCUGAUUCCGAGAGAAACAACGAUAGGGUUUUGGGGCGGUUAUGGCUUGGCAGCGCUUACUCACGCAGGUUGCUAAGAAGCAGUUGGGGCAUCAAAUUUUUAAUGAAUUAAGCGGCCAACCACUGCUUUCAUUGCAAAAGGGUCGUGUUGUUGUCUAGUUAUGGAAGGUAUUCAACGUGAUCCAGGCGGGCUUCCCACGGAUCACUAUUCAUGGUCAUGGGAUCAGUUUUGCUACGGAAGGCUGAGAUUUAACACCCCCCUCAAGUUGGAGAAUAUAGAUCUGUCAUU